AUUGAACGCUGGCGGCAGGCCUAACACAUGCAAGUCGAGCGGAUGAGGGGUGCUUGCACCCUGAUUCAGCGGCGGACGGGUGAGUAAUGCCUAGGAAUCUGCCUAUUAGUGGGGGAUAACUCGGGGAAACUCGGGCUAAUACCGCAUACGUCCUACGGGAGAAAGUGGGGGAUCUUCGGACCUCACGCUAAUAGAUGAGCCUAGGUCGGAUUAGCUAGUUGGUGAGGUAACGGCUCACCAAGGCGACGAUCCGUAGCUGGUCUGAGAGGAUGAUCAGCCACACUGGGACUGAGACACGGCCCAGACUCCUACGGGAGGCAGCAGUGGGGAAUCUUGCGCAAUGCGCGAAAGCGUGACGCAGCAACGCCGCGUGCGGGAAGACGGCCUUCGGGUUGUAAACCGCUUUCAGUUGGGACGAAACUUCGCCGGUGAAUAGCCGGCUGGAGUGACGGUACCUUCACAAGAAGCCCCGGCUAACUUCGUGCCAGCAGCCGCAGUAACAC
rnacentral:rRNA from 1 species